rnacentral:rRNA from 1 species
AGGUGGUAAUGCCGGAUGCUCCAGUUGAUCGCAUGGUCUUUUGGGAAAGCCUUUGCGGCAUGGGAUGGGGUCGCGUCCUAUCAGCUUGAUGGCGGGGUAACGGCCCACCAUGGCUUCGACGGGUAGCCGGCCUGAGAGGGCGACCGGCCACAUUGGGACUGAGAUACGGCCCAGACUCCUACGGGAGGCAGCAGUGGGGAAUAUUGCACAAUGGGCGCAAGCCUGAUGCAGCGACGCCGCGUGAGGGAUGGAGGCCUUCGGGUUGUAAACCUCUUUUGUUAGGGAGCAAGGCAUUUUGUGUUGAGUGUACCUUUCGAAUAAGCACCGGCUAACUACGUGCCAGCAGCCGCGGUAAUACGUAGGGUGCAAGCGUUAUCCGGAAUUAUUGGGCGUAAAGGGCUCGUAGGCGGUUCGUCGCGUCCGGUGUGAAAGUCCAUCGCUUAACGGUGGAUCCGCGCCGGGUACGGGCGGGCUUGAGUGCGGUAGGGGAGACUGGAAUUCCCGGUGUAACGGUGGAAUGUGUAGAUAUCGGAAAA